rnacentral:rRNA from 1 species
UCCUAUGUUUACGGGUGUAGGAUGAAGGCUGUCGGCUUGUCUGCUCCUUUUAGCGAGGAAGAAGCGAAAGUGACGGUACCUGCAGAAAAAGCGCCGGCUAACUACGUGCCAGCAGCCGCGGUAAUACGUAGGGCGCAAGCGUUGUCCGGAAUUAUUGGGCGUAAAGAGCUCGUAGGCGGUUUGUCGCGUCUGCUGUGAAAGUCCGAGGCUCAACCUCGGAUCUGCAGUGGGUACGGGCAGACUAGAGUGUGGUAGGGGAGACUGGAAUUCCUGGUGUAGCGGUGGAAUGCGCAGAUAUCAGGAGGAACACCAAUGGCGAAGGCAGGUCUCUGGGCCAUAACUGACGCUGAGGAGCGAAAGCGUGGGGAGCGAACAGGAUUAGAUACCCUGGUAGUCCACGCCGUAAACGGUGGGCACUAGAUGUGGGGCUCUUUCCAUGAGUUCCGCGUCGCAGCUAACGCAUUAAGUGCCCCGCCUGGGGAGUACGGCCGCAAGGCUAAAACUCAAAGGAAUUGACGGGGGCCCGCACAAGCGGCGGAGCAUGCGGAUUAAUUCGAUGCAACGCGAAGAACCUUACCAAGGCUUGACAUAUGCGGUCUAUCCCUAGAGAUAGGGAGUGCUUCGGCGCCGUAUACAGGUGGUGCAUGGUUGUCGUCAGCUCGUGUCGUGAGAUGUUGGGUUAAGUCCCGCAACGAGCGCAACCCUCGUUCUAUGUUGCCAGCGCGUAAUGGCGGGGACUCAUAGGAGACUGCCGGGGUCAACUCGGAGGAAGGUGGGGAUUGACGUCAAAUCAUCAUGCCCCUUAUGUCUUGGGCUUCACGCAUGCUACAAUGGCCGGUACAAAGGGCUGCGAUACCGCUAGGUGGAGCGAAUCCCAAAAAGCCGGUCUCAGUUCGGAUUGAGGUCUGCAACUCGACCUCAUGAAGUCGGAGUCGCUAGUCAUCGCAGAUCAGCAACGCUCCGGUGAAUUCUUUCCCGGUCCUAGUACACACCACCAUCCUUGCCUUUAAUCCUCUACACUCGACUCUCCAGUC